GACGAACGCUGGCGGCACGCUUAACACAUGCAAGUCGAACGAGAGAAGAGAAGCUUGCUUUUCUGAUCUAGUGGCGGACGGGUGAGUAACACGUGAGCAAUCUGCCUUUCAGAGGGGGAUACCGAUUGGAAACGAUCGUUAAUACCGCAUAAUAUAAUUGAACCGCAUGAUUUGAUUAUCAAAGAUUUAUCGCUGAAAGAUGAGCUCGCGUCUGAUUAGCUAGUUGGUAAGGUAACGGCUUACCAAGGCGACGAUCAGUAGCCGGACUGAGAGGUUGAUCGGCCACAUUGGGACUGAGACACGGCCCAGAUUCCUACGGGAGGCAGCAGUGGGGAAUAUUGCACAAUGGAGGAAACUCUGAUGCAGCGAUGCCGCGUGAGGGAAGAAGGUUUUAGGAUUGUAAACCUCUGUCUUCAGGGACGAAAAAAGACGGUACCUGAGGAGGAAGCUC
rnacentral:rRNA from 1 species